GAUGAACGCUGGCGGCGUGCCUAAUACAUGCAAGUCGAGCGAACAGAUGAGGAGCUUGCUCCUCUAACGUUAGCGGCGGACGGGUGAGUAACACGUGGAUAACCUACCUAUAAGACUGGGAUAACUUCGGGAAACCGGAGCUAAUACCGGAUAAUAUAUUGAAUCGCAUGGUUCAAUAGUGAAAGACGGUUUUGCUGUCACUUAUAGAUGGAUCCGCGCCGCAUUAGCUAGUUGGUAAGGUAACGGCUUACCAAGGCAACGAUGCGUAGCCGACCUGAGAGGGUGAUCGGCCACACUGGAACUGAGACACGGUCCAGACUCCUACGGGAGGCAGCAGUAGGGAAUCUUCCGCAAUGGGCGAAAGCCUGACGGAGCAACGCCGCGUGAGUGAUGAAGGUCUUCGGAUCGUAAAACUCUGUUAUUAGGGAAGAACAAAUGUGUAAGUAACUAUGCACGUCUUGACGGUACCUAAUCAGAAAGCCACGGCUAACUACGUG
rnacentral:rRNA from 1 species